UCAGACCCCGUUUAAAGGGAAACAAAUAUUCUGUCGCCAUUGGCUGCUUACUGAUCAACCACUAGAUUCUUGGCUCUGCUACCGUUACUGUUCAGUUUUCAGCUCCUCUCUCUCUCUCUCUCACUCUCAAAACACAGCCAGAGUCAAAUGGUGAUGUGGGUAUUUGGAUAUGGAUCUCUAAUUUGGAAGCCAGGCUUUAACUAUGAUGAUCGCCUUGUUGGUUUCAUCAAAGGCUAUCGCCGUGUCUUUUAUCAAGGGAGUACUGAUCACAGAGGGACACCAGAAUUCCCUGGUAGAACAGCGACAUUGGAGCCUGCUGAAGGAGAAGUUUGUUGGGGUAUUGCCUAUAAGAUAACGAAGAAGGAAGAUCAAGAAGUUGCACUGACGUACCUUGAAGUCAGGGAAAAGCAAUAUGACAAGAAGGCUUAUGUAGAUCUUUUCACUGAGCCUGCAGCAUCAGAACCAGCUGUUUCUGGUGUAUUAGUAUACAUAGGGUCUCCAGACAAGAAGGUUAACGAGAACUACCUGGGACCUGCAUCAGUCGAAGAAAUAGCUAGGUCUAGGUUCAAAGUGAACAAUCUUACUAGUGGGUCAGGUUGUGACAAUAUGAUAUCAGAGUCAGGCUCAUCCUUGAUGUUGGGUUAUCCAAUGUUGCACCCAUGUUAUACCACUCCCCAUUCCAAAUGUCCGGCCAUGGACGUGCAGAAGGUGUAAAAUCACACAUAGGUUAAGUAUAUGGGUUGUAGUUUUCUUGUGGCUAUACAUAACCUAGAGUUAAGUUCUUGUCAAUUCAUUCCCAGUGCCCAAAUUUAGCUCUUCAUAGUAUCAUUCAGCCACGGAAAGCAUCUCUCUGUACAUGGAACACCUUCUCCAUGACAACUCAAGCAUGUAGCACAGAGGGUCUUGGAAGCCAUGGAAUCCUGGAGAAGGAACUUUCCUCCAUCAACGCCCCUCUUCAAACUGCAUCUUAGUCAUGGCCUGGGGAAGGAUCAAAUUAUUCGUGCAAAAGGCCCCUCAGGACCCAAUAGAGAUUACCUCUUUCAACUUGAAAAAGCCCUUGGCCUCUUAG